rnacentral:rRNA from 1 species
AUUGAACGCUGGCGGCAUGCCUUACACAUGCAAGUCGAACGGCAGCACGGGAGCAAUCCUGGUGGCGAGUGGCGAACGGGUGAGUAAUAUAUCGGAACGUGCCCAGUCGUGGGGAUAACGUAGCGAAAGCUACGCUAAUACCGCAUACGAUCUAUGGAUGAAAGCGGGGGAUCGCAAGACCUCGCGCGAUUGGAGCGGCCGAUAUUAGAUUAGGUAGUUGGUGAGGUAAAGGCUCACCAAGCCGACGAUCUGUAGCUGGUCUGAGAGGACGACCAGCCACACUGGGACUGAGACACGGCCCAGACUCCUACGGGAGGCAGCAGUGGGGAAUUUUGGACAAUGGGCGCAAGCCUGAUCCAGCAAUGCCGCGUGCAGGAUGAAGGCCUUCGGGUUGUAACUAGCUUUUGUACGGUAACGAAACGGUAGGAGAC